UGGAAUCUUAGACAAUGGGCGCAAGCCUGAUCUAGCCAUGCCGCGUGAGCGAUGAAGGCCUUAGGGUUGUAAAGCUCUUUCGUGGGGGAAGAUAAUGACUUACCCCAAGAGAGUC
rnacentral:rRNA from 1 species